rnacentral:lncRNA from 1 species
ACUGUCCUGCAUGAAUCAAGCAAAAUUGGACUUGACCAUCAUAGAUUUCCUACCAAUUAAACCCAAUAACAUCUAAAUGACCUGUUGAACACGGCAUUUUGAUCUUACCUGCCCUCAAUUUAAUGUAGACACAACCUAACCCAAAUCUAUCAACUGUCACUCCACAGCCCAAAACUAGAACCAUUUUGGACCAGAUCUUGGCACCGUGAUAAUUAACAAAAUCUGGACCCUUCCCAUUUGCAAUCAAGUUGCAUAACGUUAAAGAGCUG